CAAAUAGUCGGUGGAUCAACGAGCAAUUCAUAGAGCUCUGUAUUUGGUGUACGAAGAGAGUUUUCAUGGACUUGAAAAUCGUCGUUUUCAUUUUGCUGACUUUACCUUACGUCGCGAGAUCAGUAAAUCUUGGACCCGCUUGCCAAAAUAUGUGGAAUAACGCUGGAAAUAACUUGAUCGUUCCUGGAGAAUUAACUGUUAAUCCGGUGGCAAAUGCAAACCCGUUGUUUACGGUUGUUCCAGGAGCAGGAGGAGUUGGAAAAAUCGCUUCUCCUGUAUUUCAACGAU
rnacentral:misc_RNA from 1 species